rnacentral:rRNA from 16 species
GGAGCGGUGAAAUGCGUAGAUAUCUAGAGGAACGCCAAAGGCGAAGGCAGAUGGCUGGGCCGUUGUUGACGCUCAGGGACGAAAGCAUGGGUAGCGAACGGGAUUAGAUACCCCGGUAGUCCAUGCCCUAAACGAUGUGCACUAGGUCGCGGAAGGUUUGACCCUCUCGCGGCUGAAGUUAAAAUAUUAAGUGCACCGCCUGGGGAGUACGGUCGCAAGGCUAAAACUCAAAGGAAUUGACGGGGGCUCACACAAGCGGUGGAGCAUGUGGCUUAAUUCGAAGCAACGCGAAGAACCUUAUCCAGGGCUUGACAUGUACGGAUUAUUGAUCCGAAAGGUGAUAGACGCUCUCUGAGUGGAACGUACACAGGUGCUGCAUGGCUGUCGU